CACUUUACGGGAUACUGUCACGUUAUCGUCAGCUGACGUCAGACGCUGUUACAUGUGGAUAAGCGAUCUAUAGCAUAACAUUUGAAUUUCAUAAACUGUGUCGUUUUGGUUGUAGUUAAUUCAGCAUAUUAAAAAGAUUGUGGAAGCUCAGCGGCCGCAGGUCAUUCAUAUGGACACACAAAAGACAGCAUUUAUUAGAAAAACCGCUGCAACCAUCUAAACUUGCUAGCCACAGCGCUACUUUAGCAAACGAAGGGAAAGUGCAGGCUACAUGACAUGGAGAACUACAGAAAAGCACGCACAGUCGAGCAGCCCUGCCCGUGUCCGUUCCCUGACCUGCCCAGCGACACUCCAGAAGUUCGAGUAAAGGAUGGCAGCAAAAUCCGCAACCUGAUGAGGUUUGCUUUAAGCCGUAUGGAGGAGAAAACAGCCUCUGCAGAUCAUCCAGGCCCUCAUGAAGGCUCAGAGUGCACAGCAGCUGAAACCAGCUUCACAAGCGGGAGCUGCAUAUGCAAAACCCGCAGUCAUGUUGGCGGUUCUGUUGACUAUUUUGAUGUUUAAUCAAGGGCUUUCAUUGGACAAUCGUGGGAUGAGUUUCAUCACUGCAUUCCCCGAGAAUAUUGCUGUUUAUUAUCAAAAGACCUAUAACCUUUUCAAAAUCACUACCCUUCACCCAAACACUACGAUCAGGGUCACUUAUAUGGCCAAUGGCAGAUUCAAAACCAACACAAGCCUCGCCGAAGGAAUCGUUUGGACUUUGAAUUUGACAAAGCAGGUUGAAGAAUCCCAGUUUAUGUCUUCCAAUAAGACGUUUCGAAUCACCAGUGAUAAAAACAUCACAGUGCUUUCUGUGAGUGGAUGGGAGGGGAGAUUCCAGUCUCACGUUGUCCAGCCUGAACAAAAUCUGGGAAAGGUGUAUCAUGUUCCCUCUCUGAAUUACACCAAGAUAGCCACGUCCUUUAACCUCAAGAUGACAUCAGAUGUCAGAUUCCCGCCUUUUAGGCUGAUGAUCAUCAAUGCGGUGGACAUGGGCAAAAGUGUCACCAUCAAACGGGUAGAUGAAAAAGAUCCUAGCCAAGAAGAGACAAUAAAGCUCGAUCCUUACAAUCUUUACCAGAUUGAGAUUAUUGAGUCGGUGAGACAAAUCUACGCAGAGGACAAAGUGGCUGUGAUUCUGACCCAUCCGUGCUUUGACAGCAACAACUGCUCAUGCAACAUGAUUCUGAACCAGCUCCAACCCUAUGUGUCAAACAACAAUAAAGACAUAUUCCUUAUGCCCCCCAUCUUCAGCGCCAGACAGCUACUUGUGACAACAAAUGAACCCUUUCAAGUCUAUAAGGGUUGGUUUACUCCUUAUACAGGUAUUUGGGUGCAAAAUUCUUCCAACAUCCUGCCAUUAUUACAGAAUUUUAGGAACAACUUCUCAGUUAUUUCUACCACCAUCCAGGUUUCCCUCCGAUUAAUUAGUCCUGGACUUGUUCUAGACCUCAUUCCGAUAAGCAAGUUCUCUGGCUGCUAUCUGGUAGAUUUAAAUUCCUCACGCAGUGGUGCCUUGGUAAUUGCUAAUACAUCCAGCGCUGAUGCUGUGCGAAUUAAUGAUCAGCAUUUGCCUCCACACAUCAGCUGGAACGUUAUAAAUGGCACAGGGUACUCUUGGGCUGUAGUGGAGGGAAAAAAGAUAAGCACAAUCUGGCAUCCUUUUGAAAGGAUUGGUGUAUAUAUGAUAGAACGCUUGGAGUAUAACAAUACCUAUGGGAGUGCAGCAACAGUUAUAAAUACAGACCCAGAUGAUCGUGGCUGUCUGCUGACUCCGGAGAUAUUUGUACUUGGUGAAGAUGAAAUGAGCUGGUUCAAGUCCCGCGAAUACUGCAUGCAAAAUGCUGAUCUGUUUGCCAGGCUCAACAAUGAAAGCAGCCAGACUAAGAUGGCCUUAAACAUGACACGAGAAGAACCCACGGAGGGCUGGAUCAGUCUGCGUCGCAGCUUGUACUCAACAGACUGGUACUGGAAAAACGAGGAUACUUUCUCACCUAAUGUGGACUUCACUUACUGGGAGAAAGGACAGCCUGAAAAACCGGAGAAAGGCUUGUGCGCCUCGGUUUCCCUGGAUCCCAACAAGAACUUCAAGUGGAAGAGUGCACGCUGCUGUUCUAAAAAGAAGCCUGUUUGCUAUAAAAGACAAAAAUACUUCACUUUACGAGAUACUUUGUAAACAACAGAUAUCUUAAUUACAAGACGUAUGACCUUCAAAAAUGUUCAAUGUUUAAUUUUUUGCUUUCAGAACUAUCUUUAGGGAUCAGUAUAGAUUGGUUUGAUUUUCAUGCUCAACAUUUAUCUGUCUAUACAUAGUGAGGCCCCUAUAUUAGAGUAGAUUUAGAAAAUGUUAUUUGGUGGGCAAUUAAAUAGAUAUAGCAAUAAUAUUAACAGUGAAAGAAAACUAUUUAGGUUAAAUAUCACUUAAAUAUUAGAGUGUAAGUUGAGAUGUAUUUUGAGCUGUAUCCAGACUAAGAUUUAAACAGUGAUUAUUAUUAAAGAAUGUUAACAACAUUGAGUCCUGUAGACUUCUUUUUUUUUAUACAAAAUAAUGCCAUAGGCUUUAUUUGAUAUUAAUUCUUUAGCCCUUUAUUUUUUUCAUACAAUUUUAAACUGACUUGAAAAUCAUCAAAAAAUCUAAAUGUAUUUCAUUUUAAGAUCUAUUUAAUUUCACACAAAUGGUCUUUCUUUGAUUCAGUAGUAAAUGUUCUUUUAAAAAAU
ensembl:lncRNA